GAUCCUGGCUCAGGAUGAACGCUAGCUACAGGCUUAACACAUGCGAGUCGAGGGGCAGCAUGGUCUUAGCUUGCUAAGACUGAUGGCGACCGGCGCACGGGUGGGUAACACGUAUCCAACCUGCCGUCUACUCUUGGACAGCCUUCUGAAAGGAAGAUUAAUACAAGAUGGCAUCAUGAGUCCGCAUGUUCACAUGAUUAAAGGUAUUCCGGUAGACGAUGGGGA
rnacentral:rRNA from 1 species